GAUGAACGCUAGCGGCAGGCCUAAUACAUGCAAGUCGAACGGGCGGUAGCAAUACCGCUAGUGGCGCACGGGUGCGUAACGCGUAACCAACCUGCCCAGAUCUGUGGGAUAGCCCGCCGAAAGGCGGAUUAAUACCGCAUAAACCCACAGUGUGGCAUCACAUAAUGGGUAAAGAUUUAUCGGAUCUGGAUGGGGUUGCGUAGCAUUAGCUAGUUGGCGGGGUAAUGGCCCACCAAGGCGACGAUGCUUAGGGGACCUGAGAGGGUGAUCCCCCACACUGGGACUGGGAUAAGGGCCAGACUCCUACGGGAGGCAGCAGUAGGGAAUAUUGGGCAGUGGGCGAGAGCCUGACCCAGCCAUGCAGCGUGGCGGAUGAAGGCCUUCUGGGUUGUAAACGGCUUUUCACAGGGAAGAAAUCGGGGAUGCGUCCUCAACUGACGGUACCUGAGGAAUAAGCACCGGCUAACUCCGUG
rnacentral:rRNA from 1 species